CUGAUCAAAGCAAGAUGACCUCUAGUUAACGAAAUGCAUUUACGCAAGAAAAGAAUGAGAAUGAUCCAAGUGCAAUGGCUUCUAAUUUCUAUCCUAAGAGGUUUUUGGAUGAAAAUGCAGUUAGACAAGAGUGAAAAAUGUAUGAUCAAGGUAUGAUGGCCUCUAACUCUACAAUAUCUGAGCAUGUGACAAACAGAUAUAACUAUUAGUUUAAUUUAUAUAUCAUAACUUCAGGAAAAGGUCACUAUAUAAAACUUUAUCUAUUAUUGUAAGUCUACUGAAUAUUUUAACAUCCCUCAAUUUGUAACCUAAUCAAUAAUAUGCAUUAACAACACCUAAGACCUAAUAAUAAAAAGCUAGCUUAGUUGUGAUCAACUACUUGAAUUCUACAAAUUUCACACUACCCUCUAUAUGUUAGUGCAGUACAAUUUAACUCAAUACAAAAGUGGUCACCCCUUGUGCAUGAUAACUUAAAAGCAUUCAUUUAUCGAUCAGAGGUUGCUCCCAGAUCGAAUCAAAAAAAGUAACUGCCUUAAGAAGUAUGGUUCAUGUACAAGUAUAACACCUGUUGACACCCUUCUUCCAGCAUUAAGUUAUGAAAACACUGCAGAGCAACUACACAUAUAUUAUCCACGUUUACCUUAAUUUUUGGAUUGUCAGACUCAGCAUUGUCGUAUUUCCCAUCUCCUUGAAUCCAAUUGAGCAAGCCUACAAGAAGAAGAGCUUAGAUAAACAAAAUUUGAAAAGAAUUUCAACACAAACACUUUUCAAGUGAAUCAUGAAACAGUAUCACCUGAACUCUUUUAAAUUAAACAUGAGAUAGUGUUUUUGCUAUUGUCAACGAUCCAUUGGUGGCCUGGCCCUGGCGGGCAUCAAUCUCAAUGAAAUCUAGUUACAUUCUCAAAAUAUUCUCUAAAAUAGCCUACUGAACUCUUUCCCUACCUCAGGUUCUCAGUGGUCCCUACUAAUGAAAAAAGUAUAACACUUGAAUCUGGUACCGUAACAUCAUUAGUGGAAAAGAGCAACUUUAAGAUUGGAUAAAAUUCGUUAAAGGUGCUAUAUGCUAAUUCUUGCGGAAAAUUUAUCCUGAUGAAUAUAUUGGUGGAGGGGGGAGGAGAAUGUGUAUAGCUACUCUGCAAAAAAAAAGGUACAGGCUGUACAUGCCUUAAAGUAUAAGUAGUAACCUAAAGGGCCACAUUCAUAUAUUAGAUUCCUUCAUACAAUUCUCAAAACAAUUUGACAGAACUAUUAUGAAAAUUUUACUUUCAACACGAGUGUCUAAUUUGACGAGCUAAUGUAAAUCAGUAAAUAAAGAAAUCACUUGACAAACAAUUGAUACUAAGAAAUUCUUACCAUCUGCAGCAUGAUACUGAUCUGCCUCAACUGCUAGUAGCUUCAUUCGUUCUGUGGGAGCCCUGGAUGUGAAAGAUGUAAAGGCACCAAAUUCUCUCAGCAACCUCACCUGCUGUAUUCCUUGCAUUAUUAGGAUGUCAAUGACGGCCAUCCAUAAAUUUUACAAACUAAAGUGCAACAAAAGAAUGAAAAUGGAUAGCCAUAUUCAUGUUUUUCAAUCUUCAAAGCAUGCUAGAUAUAAAGACAACAAGAGAGGG
rnacentral:lncRNA from 1 species